UCAGGCCAUGGUUUAGCUCUGUCUAAACACAGCCAGCACUCAACCUGAAGCCUAUGCCGUCUCCUCUAAUCUGCUGACUGACUCUGUAUAUAGCAGACCAUUCAGUUCAGGAGGCAGAGAGGUACCAGGAGAAGCAAAACAAUGUAGCUGAGAGGCUUGGAGAUGACAGCGUUACAGAUAGCAGAAUGCUUUGUCAGACGGAUUGUCUUUCCUAAACAUGGAGGCUCCUGUUGAUGGAUAGGGAUGUUUCUAUUUCCUCUAGACCCUCCUGACAGAUCAUCCAUCCUUAAACAAUUUGGCAGUGCCCUCAGAGCCUGAGAAGACUGAGAGAAAAGAUGGGCCACACAACUGACAGUAGCCUUAAUGAAAGACUCAUCGGAUCGGCUCCAGGCAACCAGGAGGCGAGUGGUUUCACUGUCUGGGAUGGAUGGAAGAAUAACAUGCUGUCAGGUACGGGUGGCCGUGGAAGCAGGUGGACAUUAUGAGAUUUUGUAGGCAACAAGUAUAUGGGUGGUAGAGCUGAGGCCGCAUUAGAGAUGAAGCCCUCGUCUGAAGAUUACUGAGUGUCCUUUAAAAUGGUCAGAAAGCAAAAGGGGAUGAUUGCAAGGCCCGUUUACAGAGGGUAUACAGCUGAAUAAUAUACUGUGUGGGCAAAUCUGACAUAGAAAAUAGAAUAGUUAUUGUCUAAUAGGGACUAUAAUUUAGUUAAAUGCCAUAUGCUGAAGUGGAAUUCAGUCUUAAAAGGCUCUUAUCCACUUUCAGUGAGUAGACUACAUAUUGGACUAACAUGAUGGUGUGUCUGGGUAGUUUGUAUAUAUACCAAGUAAAACCAGUGAGAAAAAGCUUUGGGCUGCUGUCAGAUGGAGAUUUAUAGGGCGCAGCUGCACGGAGUCGUCUUUGGUCUCUGUGUCAGCCCUGUAACUGCAACCUAACCUCUUAGCACUGGCUGGGUCUCUGUGAUGGAUGGAUGUGUUUAAGUCAGGUUAAAAGUCCACUUCCAGUCACUCGCUGGGGCAACCAGACUUUAAUCUUGAAUCCUGCAAGGACUGCCUGUAAUACAGCUAUUCCCUGGCCUGAUGAACAAAGUGAGGAGACUUGCUCCGCGGAGUCGAGGCUGGAUGAAUGAAACCCUGGCUCCUCUCCCACUCGUCAGAUUACCCACCUGCUCUGAUCACGGCCAGUGUGCACAAUAGCAUUAACUGUCCCUCUCCGCUAAUGAGGCUUGCAAAUGCAUGUGAACGAUGCAGCAGAGUCACUGUAACUGAAUCCCAAAUUUGUUUUGUCAUCUCCUUGUUGUAAGUGAUCGCUUUAAUUUUUUCCUGAGCGCUGGCUGUGUGUUUCCUGGUGGGAGCAGGCCAAAGACAAAGCCAGGUAAUAAGGCAGCAUUAGCAAGCUAAUUAGACUACAGACCUGCUUUGCCACAGCAAAUCAUUUCAUUACAUCUUUCACAAUAGGGCAUCACAGCUCUUCCGAGUAGCAAUAUUUCAUAGCCAAUUUCCUGCGCCUCGUCUAUAUUCACCAACUUUUGUCAAUAAAUCUCUCAUAUCCAUAUUUAUUGAGCUGAGAUUUGGAGGCCAGGAGUGCUGCGCCUCGAUAAUGAAGACAAUGUUUCAGCGUGGAUUCAAAUCCCUCUGUGAGCUUUAACACAUCCUACUGAUACUUAUUCUUCUGUAGUCUGCGGCGUACACAGGCCUUGUAAAACUGACUUGAUGUCAGCUCCAUGUCUUGGCUGUCAGA